AGCUUUGAUUCCCACUGAGAUUUUUUUCCUCUCCUUUUUCCAGUGAACAGCUCGACUCUGAAUUUCCCCACUCGACCAGCAGGGAUAAUCCCAGCAUGCUGAGUGAGGCUGAGGGAUCAGACUUGCUCCAGUUCACAUCUGUCACCUCGUCCCUAGGCUGAUGCUGGUGCUUCCCAGAGCAUUGUUCCUCCAGUGCUGGUUACACUGAAGCAUCUCUCUCCCAGGCCAAGUUUUUAGCCUCAGUGGCUCAUACCCUUGGUGAUGGAGUUUGUGUAGCCUUCAGGUUUGACUUCUGAAAUUGCUGCUCACACGUUUUGCUGAUAUCACAUGGGCUGAGAACAUCACCACGCUCCAUUCACCACAGGUGAUCUGGACACCAUUGUAUCCCCACGGGGUCAUUUUAGUUGCAAAAGUCUAGCAGAGAUAACUUAGGAAAGGGUUAUUUACACUGCAAACCUUCCCCAGGUCUCCUGGCAGGCGGGUUGCUUGAUGGGGCACCCACCCAGGCUUUUUGCACAUUUUUGUGAUUGUGAAAGCUCUUCCGCAGAGGAGCUUUUUAUUUGCACAUGGCUGGACAGCACUUGGCACAUACUAAGUGGCCUUAGCGGCCGCUCCUGUGAUGCGCUGCAGCCUUGCCCGGUAAAUAAGAUUUGAUGUGUUUUUCCCUUGCUGAUUUUUUCCCUGCUGUAGGCUCCACUGCUGCGUCUCUCCAAGCCACCUUCCCAAAGGAUUAUUGCCACCAGUCCAUGAGGAGCAGGCAGCUCCAUCAGCGCAGCUGUCUCACUGUGUGCUCUUAUCAGCUUGGCUCAUCACAGCAAGACCUCUACAGCCUCCCUGGAAUUUCUGGCAGAUAUUAUCACUUCCCAGGUGAAGACCUGCAUUAGCCUGCCAUGCAAGAAAGCAAAUCAUGCCCUGCUUGGGCUCUGAAACCAUUGCCAAGCCCUGAAGAAAGAGUAGAGAAGGUGAAAUUUGUCCCUUAAUUUCCUGAAGACUGAUGUGAUGAUCACACAGAGCCCUCAGAAAAGAAUCUAUCAGUGUCACAUGUUGAGCGGGGGACUCUCGGUUCAGGCCACCCCUUCCCAUCCCUCAUCCCCCUGGCUUUUCUCUCACGUAUUUAUACCGCAGGUCCCUGACCUCUCCUCUUCUUUGGGCCCGUGCCAGGCACAGUUGUUUGUCCUGAUGUACAAUUCCCCUGUGGGCUGUUCCUGGUCCAAGGGGCCAUGGAUCAGGGGAAUGACCCACAGGGACAAACAGCCCUGGCCCUGAACAUCCCCUUUGGCUGCAGUCUAUCCAGGCAGGCAUCUCCCGUGGGAUGAUCAGCACCAGCACUCUUUCACUCACAUGGAAAGUAAAUAGUGACCAUGAGAAAACAAGUUAAAAAGGAAUACUUGCUCAGAUUUGAGGCAUGCCCUCCCUCAGUAGAAGUUCACAGUACCAGGCAUUAAAUGAGAUUUCUGAGAACUCCAUUCUUUUUCAUGGAAGAGAUGCCAGGUUAGUCCUGAGGGCACAGGGUCUUGUGGGUAUCUACAUAUGGCUUGUGUUUAAAAAAAAAAAAAAAAAAAAAAAAAAUCAAAACCAUCUCAGAUACUUCAUGGUGGCAAUUCUGAAUUAAAGCAUUGAUUUUUCAAAGCAUUCAGUUUUGUAGUUUUUUUAAAGGUUAUUAUUACUUUGAAGUUUAUAAACACUUAAUACUGGAAAAGAGAAAAACAGCCCUCAUUUAUCCCAGAAUUAUUUAGAUCCUUGUUUUCAUGAUGAGAGUCUUUGGCACGGCUUAUGGAAGAUGAAAAAUUCACAAAGUGCAAGGCAUAAAGAGGUGCAUGACUUUGGCAAACUUUCCUCAAAAGGGAUGGGAACGUUGUUUUAGGAAGGGUGCCUUUGGAUGAAAGAAAAACAAAAAGAAAUUAUGAUGGAAGAAAACAAAAGCAGCUUCACAGCAGGAUUUAACUGGCAAAACCCAAGCAGCAUUAUCUUCUUAACCCUCUCACUACUAAGAAACAAAAUUCUGUCUAAACCAAAUUUUCCUUGUAGUCAUUCUGUCCCUCUCUAUGUGUUCCAAGUAACAAUGUCCUGUUAUUCCCCUCCUUCACUUCUCAGUCUACAGGAACUAUUCUUGCAUGUCCCAAAUGCCUCUGAUUUCAUUGCCAGCCUCUAAAAUAUUCACUGUACCAUCUGGAACACCAUUUCUCACCUGAAUGUAAGCAAGAGCCUCUUUUGAAUUGGGAGAUCUGCACAGCAUCUCUGAGAUAUGCCUGGAUCAGCUGCACUAUCUGAGUGCAAAGGGCUUAUCAUUACUUUACAAGUGGUGUUUGUAGAGCUCUGAUAAACAGAAUGAUUAUCUUA